UAGGGAAUAUUAGUAAUGGGCGAAAGCCUGAACUAGCAACACCGCGUGUGCGAAGAAGGCCUUCGGGUUGUAAAGCACUUUUUGAGAGGAUGAGGAAGGACGGUACUCUCAGAAUAAGCCUCGGCUAACUACGUGCCAGCAGCCGCGGUAAAACGUAGGAGGCGAGCGUUAUCCGGAUUUACUGGGCGUAAAGCGUGUGUAGGCGGUUUGAUAAGUUGGAUGUGAAAGCUCCUGGCUUAACUGGGAGAGGUCGUUCAAAACUAUCAGACUUGAGAGUGGUAGAGGGAGGUGGAAUUCCGGGUGUAGCGGGGGAAUGCGCAGAUAUCCGGAGGAACACCAGUGGCGAAAGCGGCCUCCUGGACCAUUCCUGACACUCAGACGCGAAAGCUAGGGUAGCAAACG
rnacentral:rRNA from 1 species